rnacentral:lncRNA from 1 species
UGCUGGGAGAUCACCAGCUGAAAGGCAUGGACAAUGGCCUCAAUCGCCCAAUGAAAUGGUCAAAUGGAAAAAUGUCCUUAAUAAUAAAUAGUAUGGCCCAGAUCUUAUCUUAAUCAGAUCCCAGGGAGCUAUUUGUGUUUUUUCCACAGGGUGAAGAAAAUCUACUUUGGGUCCCAAUGCGACUGAAAAGGACUGUGAAAGAACAAUAUGAACCCCAAGAUGAUUCUCUUACUCCUGAUGAUUGAGACCGGGAUAAGUAUACCCUUGUAGGCCAAAGUAAGAUCAUGGCCAGUACCUUUACCGGUACAGUCCAAUUUGUCUACCUAGCCUUUAUUUUUUGCAAAGGAAUGUUUUUUAGAUGUGCCUUAUACACAACAAACUCCUCAAGAGCCAUAGAUGUAUAAGAGUACUAGUUUUCAUUUAAAUUAUACAUUAUGCUUUGUGCAUAAUGUGGAUAAACUUUUUAUACCCUAUAUAUUUUUAAAGAAAAAGAUUAUCGCUAAUUGGGCAGAUCCCAUUAUCCAAAAUAAAGUGAGCUCUAGAGUGUUAUUUAAUGCUUUAAUACAAAUUGCUCAAGGGCCACAACCAAGAUCAGUGAUGUUGAAAAUAAUGUAACUUCAUAUAUAAACAUCACCACUAUCAGGAUAAAGAGAAAUGUGACUAUUCCCAAAAGAUCACGAUAGCCUGUUGGCAAUGCUACUGCUAUAUGCAGCAUGUCUUGGUCAUUCAGACCUCGAAUUUCCUAUAGUUUUUUCACCUUGUCAAUCAAAUGUUUUUCCUCGAAAAGAAUUAGGAAAGGGUUUCGUUUUGUCAUCACCAUUAGAUUAUGCUGUUAUGUAUGGUAAAGGAGAUGCUACAGAGAAAGAAAAUAUUUGGCCAUAUUACCGAUAGAUUUUAAGUAAUGAGGCAGAUGCUAGUACCAGUUUGUCAACCUUUGCACUGUUGACUAGAACCUUUGAUGAGAUAUUUAAUGUUUCUGCCACACUUUCCAAUAUCUCUACUCAUUUGAAUAAUGUGACAUCUAAUAGAGUUAUCGAAAAUAUGACUACUCCUCCAAUAGAAGUUUGUUUCAAUUUUCCACGUUUCUUUAUAUUGGCUGAAUUUCAAUAUAAUACAGAAUGGUUAGAUUCUACAAAUGUCACUUGUUUUUUGAUACAAUGCUGAAAUGAAAUUAAUUUCUUAGCCUUAGUGGUACAUUUACCAACCUUUGUCCCUGUGCCUGUUGAGGCAGAUCCAAAGAAGUUCCCAAUCAUGAGUCUUGUCCGGCAGAAGAGAGAUUUUGGAAUCACAGCCGCCACUGUUACUGCCAUUGCAGUGUCCGCAGCAUCCGCGGUUACUACAGAAAUUGCUAUGGCCUAUCAAGUCAAUAUUGCUGAUACUAUAAGUCAGAUAACAGAAAAAAACGUCUGAGGCAUUGCUUACCCUGCAAAGGGUGGAUUCUCAUAUUGCCUCAGGAUCAUACAAAUGAGUUGUGUGGCAUCAACUUUACAGAUGUGCAUUACUCCUGUUGUGUAUACUAAUUAUUCUUUUAUUAAAAGUACAGGUCUAUCGAAUUAUCUGAAAGGGGAACUGGUCGCAGAAGCUGGAAAGGUUGCAGACGAAGCUACAGAUACAGAUCCUGAACCUUAUUGGAACCAGAGUGGAACCAGUGACCCUUGGAGACUUCACCUCUUGACUUACCUCUGCAUUUUUCUCACUUCAAAGAAUGGGUGGGGGUGGCUCUGUUUAGCGCAGCCCUGUGUUGUGGAUUAGUGCUUAUACUAUGACUGGUUUGCAAACUCAGAUCUCAGCAGAAACGUGACAAGGUGGUAAUUGCUCAAGCACUUGCUGCCAUAGAGCAAGGCACCUCCCCUGAAAUUUGGCUAUCUAUUCUCAAGAAUUAGUUGGCAUUUGAGUUCUCUGCCUUUGCAUUCCACGAAUUUGUGGAUACAUUGCAUUGAGAUGAGAGAAACUCAACGAUCAUUGAUCAACCCGUGUGCAUUGCUGAGGUUUCCUCAUUGCAUGUGAUAGAAUGACCAUGAUUUCCCCACUAAUUUAUUUUUGGCUGGCCUCUUCUGUAGAGUUCACCCUAGGCCAUUUAGCAGUUGUAGUCACACAGCACUGUGGUAUCCAGAGACGGGCAACUUUCCUCGUGCACAGACCAACCUAAGACAAUGGGGCCCGGUGGUGAUAGGGUUACCCGAUAACGGGUAAGGCUGUGACAUUGGAGGAACGACCUAAAACAGGGGCCACAGCAGAUGGACGUAACUACAGAGGCCUAGACCAGCCUCAUUUUUAUUAAAACAUAAAGGGGGAGAUGUGGAGAGCCGCAAUAACAUUUACCAUCUUAAGAUGGCGCUGGCUCCGCAGUGCCUUAUGCCACCUAAACAAAGAACAAGCUAUAUGUGCAUCUGCUAAAAGCAAAAACCCACCAAAAGUCACCAGCCCAUUUCCAGGGCACCGGUCCAUCCCCCAGGGCACUAGCCCAACCCCUGGGGCGUUUAGCCUAUCCCUAGGGUGCAUGAGAUUUGUGGGUGUAGCUACCAGUCCUAGUUUAGACACGUCACCAAAAAGUAUUUAAGCCACACACUUUCUGAGCCUUCUUUGUCUACCUCAAUAUGUUAUGAAGUAAAGUUAACCAUGAAAGA